rnacentral:rRNA from 1 species
CCUACGGGGGGCUGCAGUGGGGAAUAUUGGACAAUGGGGGCAACCCUGAUCCAGCCAUGCCGCGUGUGUGAAGAAGGCCCUCGGGUUGUAAAGCACUUUCAGUGAGGAAGAACGCCUGGUGGUUAAUACCCAUCAGGAAAGACAUCACUCACAGAAGAAGCACCGGCUAACUCCGUGCCAGCAGCCGCGGUAAUACGGAGGGUGCGAGCGUUAAUCGGAAUUACUGGGCGUAAAGCGCGCGUAGGUGGCUUGAUAAGCCGGUUGUGAAAGCCCCGGGCUCAACCUGGGAACGGCAUCCGGAACUGUCAAGCUAGAGUGCAGGAGAGGAAGGUAGAAUUCCCGGUGUAGCGGUGAAAUGCGAAGAGAUCGGGAGGAAUACCAGUGGCGAAGGCGGCCUUCUGGACUGACACUGACACUGAGGUGCGAAAGCGUGGGUAGCAAACAGGAUUAGAUACCCUUGUAGUC